CCAGACAGAGGGCGUCACUAGAGAGCCGU
rnacentral:piRNA from 1 species